UACGAAGGGGGCUAGCGUUGUUCGGAUUUACUGGGCGUAAAGCGCACGUAGGCGGAUCUUUAAGUCAGGGGUGAAAUGCCGCGGCUCAACCGCGGAACUGCCUUUGAUACUGGGGAUCUGGAGUCCGGGAGAGGUGAGCGGAACUGCGAGUGUAGAGGUGAAAUUCGUAGAUAUUCGCAAGAACACCAGUGGCGAAGGCGGCUCACUGGCCCGGUACUGACGCUGAGGUGCGAAAGCGUGGGGAGCAAACAGGG
rnacentral:rRNA from 1 species